CCUACGGGGGGCUGCAGUGGGGAAUAUUGGACAAUGGGGGGAACCCUGAUCCAGCCAUGCCGCGUGUGUGAAGAAGGCCCUCGGGUUGUAAAGCACUUUCAGUGAGGAAGAACGCCUGGUGGUUAAUACCCAUCAGGAAAGACAUCACUCACAGAAGAAGCACCGGCUAACUCCGUGCCAGCAGCCGCGGUAAAACGGAGGGUGCGAGCGUUAAUCGGAAUUACUGGGCGUAAAGCGCGCGUAGGUGGCUUGAUAAGCCGGUUGUGAAAGCCCCGGGCUCAACCUGGGAACGGCAUCCGGAACUGUCAAGCUAGAGUGCAGGAGAGGAAGGUAGAAUUCCCGGUGUAGCGGUGAAAUGCGUAGAGAUCGGGAGGAAUACCAGUGGCGAAGGCGGCCUUCUGGACUGACACUGACACUGAGGUGCGAAAGCGUGGGUAGCAAACAGGAUUAGAUACCCGUGUAGUC
rnacentral:rRNA from 1 species